rnacentral:ncRNA from 2 species
AGCAACCAAUCUGGAGAGCGGCCGUCCGAGAGCGUUCGGGCGGCCCACCGAAGGGGCAUCCGGCGCCGCUUUUGUUCGGCGCCGCAAUCUCUCAGGUAAAAGGACAGACGGGGCGAG